UUUUACCUAAAAGAAAAAAAAAAAUAUAUAUAUAUAUAAUAUACCAGGAAAUAAAUAUCAAAGUAUAUACAACGAGUUAUUCUGUACCUUUGCAAUGUACAACUUAUGACAAUGUGACAUAGGAUAUGAUGGAACAUAAAUAUCACUUAUAAACUGAUGAGAAUAUUUUGGAAUUUCAUCAGUACAACGAGAAGGAUGCCGUAAAAGAGACAACUCACCAUUAAUAGAUUCUAAUCUUGGAGAGUAUCGACCAGUAACAAGAUUAUUCAUAGAAUCCGUUAGUUCUGUGGGAACAUUAGUCUGCAGGCCAGUUCCGUUUGACUACAAAUCACAAAAAUCAAAAAACUCGUUCCUGUUCUGCACGGUACUCAGGAGUAACUAUUCCUCUACGAUCUGUAUACAAAUGAAUGUAUACAAUUAUCUUACAAAUGAUAGUAAUCAAAAGAAGUGAUGAAAAUUACCAAUUAAACUUGGUGGUGAAGGACCGCAUAAAACAUAGAAACAAUUUCCACAAAUAUUUCCGCGACUAUAUGGAUUGAAACUUUCUUGACCUAUUUUACUUGUAAAAGAACCUUUGAUCUUUAACACUCACAUCUUCAUUAGUUGUCUGAUUACUCGUGGCUAGAUACGUGUGAAAACCAGCAAGACCCAAAAUACUCCAAGCGGAAAAAAAGCAUAUCACUCCUACAAUGACACUACCAGGAGAUAAUUUGACAGCUUCUAAAAAUGCAUUUAAAAAUACUCACGCAUUAUUAAAUGUGUAACAGCGCAGGCAAAUAUAAAAACACAUAAGAAUGCUAAAGAUACUAUAAAAGCAUAA